rnacentral:rRNA from 1 species
CCUCGUACCUUUUGCAUCAUGAUCUAGCCAGCAACCCCAAGCAAAGAGAACUCUAGUUUGAAUCCCCGAAACCGGACGAGCUACUCCGGGACAGCCUAUUAAAGGGCCAACCCGUCUCUGUGGCAAAAGAGUGGGAAGAUCCCCGAGUAGAGGUGAAAAACCUACCGAGUCAGGUUAUAGCUGGUUGCCCAGGAAAUGAAUAUAAGUUCAGCUCCGCCGAGCCCUCACCCAAAAGGAUCCCAAUUAUACUAGGUAUUUGAAGGAUAAAUGCGGAAGUUAGUCAAAGGAGGUACAGCUCCCUUAACAAAGGACACAACCUUCACAGGAGGCUAAGGAAUAAAGCAUACAAAAUCACAAGUUUCAGUGGGCCUAAAAGCAGCCACCUAAACAGAAAGCGUUAAAGCUCAAACCGGAUUAAAUCCAUUAUAACAUUAACUAAACCUCCAAUGCCCCUAACCAAUACUGGGCCCCCCUAUGCUCCCAUAGGAAAGACUAUGCUAGAACGAGUAACAAGAAGAAUGAACUUCUCCCUGCACACGUGUAAAUCGAACCGGACCAACCAUCGAUGAUUAACGAACCCAAGAAAAGAGGAGCAUGCACUAGUACUGUAUAAGCCAAGAAAACCACGCAAGCACCAAUCGUUAACCCCACACAGGAGUGCUCAAAAAGGGAAAGACUCAAAGAACAAAAAGGAACUCGGCAAGCCCAAACCCCGCCUGUUUACCAAAAACACCGCCUCCUGCAAUGACUAA